rnacentral:rRNA from 1 species
CAUUUAAAGUGGUACGCGAGCUGGGUUCAGAACGUCGUGAGACAGUUCGGUCCCUAUCUGCCGUGGGCGUUGGAUGAUUGAAGGGAGUUGCUCCUAGUACGAGAGGACCGGAGUGAACGAACCUCUGGUGUUCGGGUUGUCACGCCAGUGGCACUGCCCGGUAGCUAAGUUCGGAAUCGAUAACCGCUGAAAGCAUCUAAGCGGGAAGCGAGCCCUGAGAUGAGUCAUCCCUGACCCCUUGAGGGUCCUAAAGGGCCGUUGGAGACCACAACGUUGAUAGGUGGGGUGUGUAAGUGCAGUGAUGUGUUGAGCUAACCCAUACUAAUUACCCGUGAGGCUUAACCAUACAACACCCAAGAAGUGUUCUG